CGAAAGUUUAGAAUAGUGUUUUUCCAUAUGUGACUUUGGAUACGAGCAAAGCAGUAUAAAGAAGGUUGGUUCACACUCGGCGUUUAUUUUCGUACCAGAAGCAACCCCAUUCGAGGUAGUAUUAUAGUUCACGUCACACCUUGUGCAAACGGAAAGAGCGAUGCAACUUUACAUGCAACGAGUCGGAAUAAAAAGCUCGUUUUAUUUGCUCGAUCGAAGGGUGGAUAACGUUGGGAAUUUUUCUGGUCGACCAGCAGCGGCAGAAAGAGAGAGUCAUUUCGACAGCGGCGACAGAGAUUGAUGACGCCGAUCAAGACAUUUGACUCUUGGUGGAUGUUGUUAGUCCAUUGCGACGAUUGGUCGCGUGAAUAACUGCAUCCACGAAGCGUGACCAUGGGCAGACACAGCGCCUAUAAUGCGUACGCGAUUAAGUACAAGAUAGGCUGCUGCAAAAAUUUAUGACGAUAAUUACCUUACUCCGUUUCCCGACGUUCGUUCAAUUGCAAAAUGUACGCCCAUUCACGUACACGCAUACUUCACCCAUACUGGCUCAGGAACAUAAGAAGAAAUAGACACUGUUACGCAUCCUCGAAGGUUCCAAAUUGAUUUUAACCUACCUCACGACGUAA